rnacentral:rRNA from 1 species
AUUGAACGCUGGCGGCAGGCCUAACACAUGCAAGUCGAACGAGAGGCGGACGGGUGGGUAAUGUAUGGGAAUCGGCACGAGGGAGGGGGAUAACUGGUGGAAACGGUAGAUAAUACCGCAUAACAUCGGAGGUGCCCAGAUGGGAUGAGCUGGUAGGUGGGGUAAUGGCUCACCUAGGCGACGAUCCCUAGCUGGGCUGAGAGGAUGAACCGCCACACUGGAACUGAGACACGGCCCAGACUCCUACGGGAGGCAGCAGUGGGGAAUAUUGCACAAUGGGCGCAAGCCUGAUGCAGCCAUGCCGCGUGUGUGAAGAAGGCCUUCGGGUUGUAAAGUACUUUCAGCCGGGAGGCGUUACCGACAGAAGAAGCACCGGCUAACUCCGUGCCAGCAGCCGCGGUAAUUC